CGUUGCUYGCACUGCGGAGAAGGAGACCACGCGGAAAGCAUCGGAGACGGACACCGCUGGCGAGGGACGUAGUUCUAUUUCAAAAGAGAGUAAGGCUUUGUGCUGGAUGGCUCAGCAGCUGACAACUGGCUGAGGUUUCCUGAGAGCAGUGCAGCAAGUACUCCCACUCCUGUUAGUGGCAGAAGAAAGAGCAAGCCUAAAUCUUCAGGACCCUGCCCGUUUGCGUCAGUCUAAAGAGUUGUUGGGCUAUUCUGACCUCCCUAAAACGGAGUCCUCGAGGCCCUAUCGUUCCUGAAUAAUAAUUCCUGAAUUGGUUUACCACAUUUAAUCAAAUUUAAUAUUAAGGUAAAAAGCACAAAAAAUAAGCUUCUCUGAGAAGAAUGGUCAGAGAGAGAAGAGCGAGAUUCAGCCRUGCUCCCACAGAAGAGAAGAUGUUGUCAGUGAUGCAAGAUGGUAGAAAAAUGUUCCAUCUGCAAGAAAACAUUCAACUUACUAGACAUCAAUGAAGCCAAUCGACAGGGUAGAACCAUGAAGGUAAUGUGAAUUUUAAUUGAAAGUCUUGCUUUCAGAGGAAACAAUUAAAGAAGAAAUAACAUUUUAAAUCAGUUACCUGUGACAAUGCAAUAACUGUGAAGUAAUAUACUCCAAACACAUUUAUAAAGUGAAAUAUGAAACUAAUCAUUCACUUUCGGGAUGCAGUAUAGAAUUUUUCUGAAAUUGGCUUUUUUUUUUUUCUCAAAAACUCUUCAGAGCUCUGUGAGAAUAUCCUCAACAUGCAUGUCAUUCUGUUUAAUUCCCGGUCGCUAAAAUGCUAUAACAAUGUG